UACGUAGGGGGCUAGCGUUGUCCGGAAUCAUUGGGCGUAAAGCGCGUGUAGGCGGUUCGGUAAGUCCGCUGUGAAAGUCGGGGGCUCAACCCUCGAAUGCCGGUGGAUACUGUCGGACUAGAGUACGGAAGAGGCGAGUGGAAUUCCUGGUGUAGCGGUGAAAUGCGCAGAUAUCAGGAGGAACACCAUUGCGAAGGCAGCUCGCUGGGACGUUACUGACGCUGAGACGCGAAAGCGUGGGGAGCAAACAGGAUAGAUA
rnacentral:rRNA from 1 species